rnacentral:rRNA from 1 species
GACGAACGCUGGCGGCGUGCUUAACACAUGCAAGUCGAACGAAAGGCCCUGCUUUCCGGGUGCUCGAGUGGCGAACGGGGGGGUAACACGGGGGUGAUCUGCCCCUUUCUUUGGGAUAAGCCUGGGGAACUGGGUCUAAUACUGGAUAGGACCAUGCUGUAGGUGGUGUUGUGGGAAGGUUAGUUUCGGUAAGGGAUGAGGUCGCGGCCUAUCAGCUUGUUGGUGGGGUAAUGGCCUACCAAGGCGUCGACGGGUAGCCGGCCUGAGAGGGUGGACGGCCACAUUGGGACUGAGAUACGGCCCAGACUCCUACGGGAGGCAGCAGUGGGGAAUAUUGCACAAUGGGCGCAAGCCUGAUGCAGCGACGCCGCGUGGGGGAUGACGGCCUUCGGGUUGUAAACUCCUUUCAGCCAUGACGAAGCCCUUGUGGUGACGGUAGUGGUAGAAGAAGCACCGGCUAACUACGUG